UCAGGAUGAACGCUAGCGGCAGGCUUAACACAUGCAAGUCGAGGGGCAGCGGGAUGUAGCAAUACAUUGCCGGCGACCGGCGGAUGGGUGCGUAACGCGUAUGCAACCUACCUUAUACAGGGGAAUAACCUUUCGAGAGGGAGACUAACACCCCAUAGUAUUGAUUUAAGGCAUCUUAGAUUAAUUAAAUAUUUAUAGGUAUAAGAUGGGCAUGCGUAUGAUUAGCUAGUUGGUAAGGUAACGGCUUACCAAGGCGACGAUCAUUAGGGGUUCUGAGAGGAAGGUCCCCCACACUGGUACUGAGACACGGACCAGACUCCUACGGGAGGCAGCAGUGAGGAAUAUUGGUCAAUGGGCGCAAGCCUGAACCAGCCAUGCCGCGUGCAGGAAAAGACGGCCUUAUGGGUUGUAAACUGCUUUUACAUAAGACUAACCGUAUAUUUGCGAAUAUACCUGAAUGUAUUAUGAGAAUAAGGAUCGGCUAACUCCGUGCCAGCCGCUGC
rnacentral:rRNA from 1 species